UAGGGAAUCUUCCACAAUGGACGCAAGUCUGAUGGAGCAACGCCGCGUGAGUGAAGAAGGUUUUCGGAUCGUAAAGCUCUGUUGUUGGUGAAGAAGGAUAGAGGUAGUAACUGGCCUUUAUUUGACGGUAAUCAACCAGAAAGUCACGGCUAACUACGUGCCAGCAGCCGCGGUAAUACGUAGGUGGCAAGCGUUGUCCGGAUUUAUUGGGCGUAAAGCGAGCGCAGGCGGAAGAAUAAGUCUGAUGUGAAAGCCCUCGGCUUAACCGAGGAACUGCAUCGGAAACUGUUUUUCUUGAGUGCAGAAGAGGAGAGUGGAAUUCCAUGUGUAGCGGUGGAAUGCGUAGAUAUAUGGACGAACACCAGUGGCGAAGGCGACUCUCUGGUCUGCAACUGACGCUGAGGCUCGAAAGCAUGGGUAGCGAACAGG
rnacentral:rRNA from 1 species